AAUUUUGGACAUGGGGUGCAAGCCUGAUCCAGUCAUGCCGCGUGAGUGAAGAAGGCCUUCGGGUUGUAAAGUUCUUUCGGUCGGAAAGAAAUCGCGCCGGCUCACACCCUGCGCGGUUGACGGUACCGUCAUAAUAAGCACUGGCCAACUACGUGCCAGCAGCCGCGGUAAUACGUAGGGUGCGAGCGUUAAUCGGAAUUACUGGGCGUAAAGCGUGCGCAGGCAGUUGAUUAAGACAGGCGUGAAAUCCCCGGGCUUAACCUGGGAACUGCGCUUGUGACUGGUCAGCUAGAGUACGGCAGAGGGGGGUAGAAUUCCACGUGUAGCAGUGAAAUGCGUAGAGAUGUGGAGGAACACCGAUGGCGAAGGCAGCCCCCUGGGCCGAUACUGACGCUCAUGCACGAAAGCGUGGGUAGCAAACAGG
rnacentral:rRNA from 1 species